rnacentral:rRNA from 1 species
UACGUAGGCAGCAAGCGUUGUUCGGAGUUACUGGGCGUAAAGGGUGUGUAGGCGGCCAGAUAAGUCCGCUGUGAAAUCUCGAGGCUCAACUUCGAGCUGUCGGUGGAAACUAUCUGGCUAGAGUCCGGAAGAGGAGAAUGGAAUUCCUGGUGUAGCGGUGAAAUGCGCAGAUAUCAGGAAGAACACCCGUGGCGAAGGCGGUUCUCUGGGACGGUACUGACGCUGAGACGCGAAAGCGUGGGGAGCGAACAGG